UUCGCCCUUAGAGUUUGAUCCUGGCUCAGGACGAACGCUGGCGGCGUGCUUAACAUAUGCAAGUCGAACGGAGCGCCUAUGAAGGAGAUUUCGGUCAACGGAAUAGGUUGCUUAGUGGCGGACGGGUGAGUAACGCGUGAGGAACCUGCCUUUCAGAGGGGGACAACAGUUGGAAACGACUGCUAAUACCGCAUAACACAUAGGUGCCGCAUGGCAUUUAUGUCAAAGAUUUAUCGCUGAAAGAUGGCCUCGCGUCUGAUUAGCUAGUUGGUGAGGUAACGGCUCACCAAGGCGACGAUCAGUAGCCGGACUGAGAGGUUGGCCGGCCACAUUGGGACUGAGAUACGGCCCAGACUCCUACGGGAGGCAGCAGUGGGGAAUAUUGGGCAAUGGGCGCAAGCCUGACCCAGCAACGCCGCGUGAAGGAAGAAGGCUUUCGGGUUGUAAACUUCUUUUGACAGGGAAGAGUAGAAGACGGUACCUGUCGAAUAAGCCACGGCUAACUACGUGCCAGCAGCCGCGGUAAUACGUAGGUGGCAAGCGUUGUCCGGAUUUACUGGGUGUAAAGGGCGUGUAGCCGGGUUGACAAGUCAGAUGUGAAAUCCUGCGGCUUAACCGCAGAACUGCAUUUGAAACUGUUGAUCUUGAGUACUGGAGAGGCAGACGGAAUUCCUAGUGUAGCGGUGAAAUGCGUAGAUAUUAGGAGGAACACCAGUGGCGAAGGCGGUCUGCUGGACAGCAACUGACGGUGAGGCGCGAAAGCGUGGGGAGCAAACAGGAUUAGAUACCCUGGUAGUCCACGCUGUAAACGAUGGAUACUAGGUGUGCGGGGACUGACCCCCUGCGUGCCGCAGUUAACACAAUAAGUAUCCCACCUGGGGAGUACGAUCGCAAGGUUGAAACUCAAAGGAAUUGACGGGGGCCCGCACAAGCGGUGGAUUAUGUGGUUUAAUUCGAAGCAACGCGAAGAACCUUACCAGGGCUUGACAUCCCGGUGACCGCUGUAGAGAUACAGUUUUCCCUUCGGGGACACUGGUGACAGGUGGUGCAUGGUUGUCGUCAGCUCGUGUCGUGAGAUGUUGGGUUAAGUCCCGCAACGAGCGCAACCCUUAUUGUUAGUUGCUACGCAAGAGCACUCUAGCGAGACUGCCGUUGACAAAACGGAGGAAGGUGGGGACGACGUCAAAUCAUCAUGCCCCUUAUGUCCUGGGCCACACACGUACUACAAUGGUGGUCAACAGAGGGAAGCAAUACCGCGAGGUGGAGCAAAUCCCUAAAAGCCAUCCCAGUUCGGAUCGCAGGCUGCAACCCGCCUGCGUGAAGUUGGAAUCGCUAGUAAUCGCGGAUCAGCAUGCCGCGGUGAAUACGUUCCCGGGCCUUGCACUCACCGCCCGUCA
rnacentral:rRNA from 1 species